rnacentral:rRNA from 1 species
UACGUAGGGAGCAAGCGUUGUCCGGAAUCAUUGGGCGUAAAGCGCGCGUAGGUGGCCACAUAAGUCCGUUGUGAAAGUCAAAGGCUCAACCUUUGAAAGCCGAUGGAUACUGUGUGGCUAGAGUACGGAAGAGGCGAGUGGAAUUCCUGGUGUAGCGGUGGAAUGCGCAGAUAUCAGGAGGAACACCAAUAGCGAAGGCAGGUCUCUGGGCCGUAACUGACGCUGAGAAGCGAAAGCAUGGGGAGCGAACAGG